AUUGAACGCUGGCGGAAUGCUUUACACAUGCAAGUCGAACGGCAGCACGGGAGCUUGCUCCUGGUGGCGAGUGGCGAACGGGUGAGUAAUGCGUCGGAACGUACCGAGUAAUGGGGGAUAACGCAGCGAAAGCUGUGCUAAUACCGCAUACGCCCUGAGAGGGAAAGUGGGGGAUCGCAAGACCUCACGUUAUUCGAGCGGCCGACGUCUGAUUAGCUAGUUGGUGGGGUAAAGGCCUACCAAGGCGACGAUCAGUAGCGGGUCUGAGAGGAUGAUCCGCCACACUGGAACUGAGACACGGUCCAGACUCCUACGGGAGGCAGCAGUGGGGAAUUUUGGACAAUGGGGGCAACCCUGAUCCAGCCAUUCCGCGUGAGUGAAGAAGGCC
rnacentral:rRNA from 1 species